CUGGCAGCACGCAACAUGAGCCGCGAGGACUGGAAUGAAGAGAUGGGGGACAAGGCAUCAUCACUCCUACCUCAUGAGCAGGUUGGCUUCCCUUGUGGACCCAGUGGCAUCUCUAACUUCGGUCCAAGUGUAGGCUCAUUUGAUGCUUUUGGAAGACAUUACAGAAGUCAGCAUAUGCAAGAUCACUUUGGAUGGUAUUCUAGGAGCAGAG